rnacentral:rRNA from 1 species
AGCAGCCGCGGUAAUUCCAGCUCCAAUAGCGUAUAUUAAAGUUGUUGCAGUUAAAAAGCUCGUAGUUGAAUUUCGGGGUUAGUAGGUUGGUCGUGCCUCAGGUAUGUACUGAUCUCACUGAUUCCUCCUUCCUGAUGAACCGUAAUGCCAUUAAUUUGGUGUUGCGGGGAAACUGGACUGUUACUUUGAAAAAUUAGAGUGUUUAAAGCAGGCUAACGCUUGAAUACAUUAGCAUGGAAUAAUGAAAUAGGACGUUCGAUCCUAUUCUGUUGGUUUCUAGGAUUGACGUAAUGAUUAAUAGGGAUAGUUGGGGGCAUUAGUAUUCAAUUGUCAGAGGUGAAAUUCUUGGAUUUAUUGAAGACUAACUACUGCGAAAGCAUUUGCCAAGGAUGUUUUCAUUAAUCAAGAACGAAAGUUAGGGGAUCGAAGACGAUCAGAUACCGUCGUAGU